CAAAUAGUAUGAUCUCUGAAUGUGGUCAGCCGAGGUAGAAAAUGCUUCAUGGCCUGACCACUUUUACGAAACAAAUGUGAGAAUUAAAUUCAGCAGUAACAAUAUUCAGGACCAAUAUUGCACGAGUUAGAUCUGCAUCCAAGUCAAAUUUGAAUGUCCUCGGAAAGUCAUGGUGAGCAGUGACUGAAAUGAACACGGGAGAACCUGAAAGCAGGGGCAGGGGAAUUACAGGUCGCAUCAUAAGUAUUCCACAUCAUCGAGUUACAAAAAGAAUCAUACCAACAUCAUCAUAAGACUAGCAAAAAGAAACCCAAAUGAGACAUCCAUGAACAAAUUGGUGGAAAACACCCAUGAAAGCAGCAUUCAGUUCCUGCCUCUCCAGAUUUGGCCUGAACUAAUCAGUCAUCAGCUUAGGUAUCCAUAUCGGUAGCAUCAAUCCGAAACAAAUAACACCAAAAAAAAUCCAGGUGAGGUAGGGUGCCGCACCAAUUCAUUAAUAGAAAAAACCGCAGACACAAAAUGGUGGAAAGCACUGAUGGAAGCAGUUCAGUUCAAGAAGCAUGAAAGGCAUUUUGUUCAUGCCUCUCCAGAUUUGGUCUGAAUUAAUCAGCUCAUCAGCUUAGCUAUCCACAUAAUAUCACCGGCAUCUAUCUGAUCACACACUGACUACUGAGAGCUUCUCUACGAGAUGACAGUACGUGUUUUAAAGCUGACGCACUUGUAAUGUCUAACAAUGAGAUAUGCAAUUUCGCAGUUCUUUGGCCCUGACUCUAGUGUCAUACUAGAGUCUUCAGCCCCGACUUAGUGCCAUACCACUUCUCUUCACUGCCGGAACCUGUCCAUCUGUAUUCGCUGUUUGUCUAGAAACGAAGGCUGUCCCUUCCAUCUCAUCGCUGCCACUGCACCCCGUUUCAAUAUCAAUGUCUUCAUAAUCAUAUCGACGUGAGAAUGAGAUCUUCAUAAUAUCAACACCAGUAUCCGGUCAUCUUCCACUUUUGCAUGGCGAGCACCAGCUGGUUCAUCUUCUACCUCCCCAACACGGUUGGCUGGUGGAGCUCUCACUUCCUCUUGUAUGUAUGUCUGGAACUUGAGCUUGGAAGCCUGUACCUUGGUGCAGAAGACUUCUAGAAAGUUACUUAGGCAUCCUUGAUCAUAGACGUUAGGCCUACCACCUGACAGAGAUUCUCGUGCGUUGUCUGAAAUACCAAAAUACCUAUAUCAGACAUUAGGAUUUAGGAGCAAUGCACUGGAAGGAAACUACAGUUACUAACUUCAGACUGAAGGAGCCACUGUGCAAAAACUCAAAAUAUUGUACACUUUCAAAAAAGGCACAUUCACGACCUACAGUUACUAAUUUCAGAUUAGUAGCUCCAACCAAACGUACCCCUUUGCCACUGCUUACGGUGGAGAUUGAACUGAACUACCUAUUUCCAUAGAUGCGUAU
rnacentral:lncRNA from 1 species